CCUACGGGCGACAGCAGUGGGGAAUAUUGCGCAAUGGGCGAAAGCCUGACGCAGCGACGCCGCGUGAGGGAUGAAGGUCUUCGGAUCGUAAACCUCUGUCAGCAGGGAAGAACGGUCACGGUGCUAAGCAGCAGUGAAUUGACGGUACCUGCAAAGGAAGCACCGGCUAACUCCGUGCCAGCAGCCGCGGUAAUACGGAGGGUGCGAGCGUUAAUCGGAAUUACUGGGCGUAAAGCGCUCGUAGGCGGUAUGUCAAGUCAAGGGUGAAAUCCCCGCGCUCAACGUGGGAACGGCCUUUGAAACUUGCAACCUGGAGUGUGUGUGAGUAUAGUGGACUUCCAGUUGUAGGCGU
rnacentral:rRNA from 1 species